CCUACGGGUGACAGCAGUGGGGAAUAUUGCACAAUGGGGGAAACCCUGAUGCAGCAACGCCGCGUGAGUGAAGAAGUAUUUCGGUAUGUAAAGCUCUAUCAGCAGGGAAGAAGAAAGACGGUACCUGCCUUAGACGCCCUGGCUAACUACGUGCCAGCAGCCGCGGUAAUCCGUAGGGGGCAAGCGUUAUCCGGAUUUACUGGGUGUAAAGGGUGCGUAGUCGGUUGUGCAAGUCUGAAGUGAAAGCCCGUGGCUCAACCGCGGAACUUCUUUGGAAACUGUGUAGCUUGAGUACUGGAGAGGCGAGCGGAAUUCCUAGUGUAGCGGUGAAAUGCGUAGAUAUUAGGAGGAACACCAGUGGCGAAGGCGGCCUGCUGGACAGAAACUGACGUUGAGGCUCGAAAGCGUGGGGAGCAAACAGGAUUAGAUACCCCAGUAGUC
rnacentral:rRNA from 1 species